CUCUCCUCUUACUUCCUGCGCCUCCAUUCCACCCCCAACGUCUCUCUCUCCCUCUCUCAACUCCCUCAGCUUCGCCGGAAUUCCGCCAUGGCUCGUCGGCGUCGACCGGACCGCCGGUCAGCCUCCACCGGCGUCUCCCUUCUCUCCUUUCUCUCGUUUCUACCUCAUUUCUCCCUCUCUCGGUCAGCCGCUGCCCAACUUAGGCUCGGCCUUCAUCCAGCGACGAUCUGGUCCCACCAGCCGCCGCCUGCCACCGCCGCCGCUGCGUACACGGCGGUCUCACCGCCGUCGACCGAGAGAGGUAAGUUGUAGAAACGGAUAGAUCGUGAAAGAGGAUCGAAAAGAAAUGAAUUUCGUUGUUGCUCGCCGGAUAGCCGCCGGAGCUCCGUCGACAUCGCCGGGCAGAAGCUUCGGCUUGAGGAUCAUGAUUUGAAGAAAAGGAUGGCAUCUAAAGAGUGUAGCUUUGGUUCUCCGAGAAGCCAUUAUUCUUCAGUAUUUUUCUCACUUGUAUAGAAGAGACUCUAUUAUGUAUAAAUAGACAUUCAAUAUAUACUUCUACUAUAAUUGUAUAUGGACAAUUAUUUCAUAA